rnacentral:ncRNA from 1 species
GAGGUGUAGAAUAAGUGGGAGAUAUUAGACCUCGGUUUGGUAUCGUCAUGAAUACCACUACUCUUAUUGUUUCCUUACUUACUUGAUUAAAUGGAACGUGUAUCAUUUCCUAGCCAUUAUACGGAUAUAUUUAUUAUAUCUUAUGGUAUUGGGUUUUGAUGCAAGCUUCUUGAUCAAAGUAUCACGAGUUUGUUAUAUAAUCGCAAACAAAUUCUUUAAUAAAACGAUGCAUUUAUGUAUUUUUGAUUUGAAAAUUUGGUAUAACUCCAAUUACUCAGGUAUGAUCCAAUUCAAGGACAUUGCCAGGUAGGGAGUUUGACUGGGGCGGUACAUCUCUCAAAUAAUAACGGAGGUGUCCCAAGGCCAGCUCAGUGCGGACAGAAACCACACAUAGAGCAAAAGGGCAAAUGCUGACUUGAUCUCGGUGUUCAGUACACACAGGGACAGCAAAAGCUCGGCCUAUCGAUCCUUUUGGUUUAAAGAGUUUUUAACAAGAGGUGUCAGAAAAGUUACCAUAGGGAUAACUGGCUUGUGGCGGCCAAGCGUUCAUAGCGACGUCGCUUUUUGAUCCUUCGAUGUCGGCUCUUCCUAUCAUUGUGAAGCAAAAUUCACCAAGCGUUGGAUUGUUCACCCAUGCAAGGGAACGUGAGCUGGGUUUAGACCGUCGUGAGACAGGUUAGUUUUACCCUACUAAUGACAAAACGUUGUUGCGACAGCAUUCCUGCGUAGUACGAGAGGAACCGCAGGGUACGGACCAAUGGCACAAUACUUGUUCGAGCGAACAGUGGUAUGACGCUACGUCCGUUGGAUUAUGCCUGAACGCCUCUAAGGUCGUAUCCGUGCUGGACUGCAAUGAUAAAUAAGGGGCAUUUGCAUUGUAUGGCUUCUAAACCAUUUAAAGUUUAUAAUUUAUUUUAUAAACGACAAUGGAUGUGAUGCCAAUGUAAUUUGUAACAUAGUAAAUUAGGAGGAUCUUCGAUCACCUGAUGCCGCGCUAGUUACAUAUAAAAGCAUUAUUUAAUACAAUGACAAAGCCUAGAAUCAAUUGUAAACGACUUUUGUAACAGGCAAGGUGUUGUAAGUGGUUGAGCAGCUGCCAUACUGCGAUCCACUGAAGCUUAUCCUUUGCUUGAUGAUUCGA